GAUGAACGCUGGCGGCGUGCUUAACACAUGCAAGUCGAACGGAAAGGCUCCUGCUUGCAGGGGUACUCGAGUGGCGAACGGGUGAGUAACACGUGGGUGAUCUGCCCUGCACUUCGGGAUAAGCCUGGGAAACUGGGUCUAAUACCGGAUAGGACGAUGGUUUGGAUGCCAUUGUGGAAAGUUUUUCGGUGUGGGAUGAGCUCGCGGCCUAUCAGCUUGUUGGUGGGGUAAUGGCCUACCAAGGCGUCGACGGGUAGCCGGCCUGAGAGGGUGUACGGCCACAUUGGGACUGAGAUACGGCCCGGACUCCUACGGGAGGCAGCAGUGGGGAAUAUUGCACAAUGGGCGCAAGCCUGAUGCAGCGACGCCGCGUGGGGGAUGACGGCCUUCGGGUUGUAAACUCCUUUCGCUAGGGACGAAGCGCAAGUGACGGUACCUGGAGAAGAAGCACCGGCUAACUACGUG
rnacentral:rRNA from 1 species